UUCUAAGUUGGUGACGUCAGCGGUGUUAAUACGAAGGGUUAGAGGGUUGUUCGGAAUUACUGGGCGUAAAGUGCGCGUAGGCGGGUCAGUAAGUCGAUUUUGAAAUCCCUGGGCUUAACCUGGGAACUGCAGUUGAAACUACUGAUCUUGAGUGCCUGAGAGGAUGGCGGAAUAACCGGUGUAGUAGUGAAAUACGUAGAUAUCGGUUAGAACACCUGAGGCGAAGGCGGCUAUCUGGCGGUUCACUGACGCUGAUGCGCGAAAGCGUGGGGAGCAAACAGGAUUAGAUACCCCAGUAGUC
rnacentral:rRNA from 1 species